CCUGAUCCAGUCCUGCCGCGUGUCUGAAGUAAGUGCCUUCGGGUUGUAAAGGACUUUUGUCCGGGAGCAAAUACCCAGUGCUAAUAACGCUGGGGGCUGAGAGUACCGGAAGAAUAAGCACCGGCUACUACGUG
rnacentral:rRNA from 1 species